UACGGGGGGGGCAAGCGUUGUUCGGAAUUACUGGGCGUAAAGGGCUCGUAGGUGGCCAACUAAGUCAGACGUGAAAUCCCCUCAGCUUAACUGGGGAACUGCGUCUGAUACUGGAUGGCUUGGAUUCGGGAGAGGAAUGCGGAAUUCCAGGUGUAGCGGUGAAAUGCGUAGAUAUCUGGAGGAACACCGGUGGCGAAGGCGGCAUUCUGGACCGACAUUGACGCUGAGGAGCGAAAGCCAGGGGAGCAAACGGGG
rnacentral:rRNA from 1 species